rnacentral:rRNA from 1 species
CUACUCCCUAUCGACGAGCUGGUUUGACACCUCGAUGUCGGCUUGUUGCGUCCUUGGGCUGCAGAAGGUCCAAAGGGUAGGACUGUUCGUCCUUUAAUGCAGCACACGAGCUGGGUUUAGUGCGUCGUGAGACAGUACGGUUCCUAUCUGUGCUAAAUUAGACUGAGACUCAGACCCCCCAGUACGAGAGGACCGGAGGGGUCCCAACCUCUGGUCUACCGGUUAUUGUUUCUGCAGUAUCGCCGGGCAGCUAAGUUGGACAUCAGAACCGCUGAAGGCAUCUGAAGUGGGAAAGAUUUGUCAAAACAGGUCUCUAAAUUCGUGGAAGUCUACCACGUAGAUCGGCAACAAGUGUACUUCUGUAAAGACUGGCUUGG